rnacentral:SRP_RNA from 1 species
GCCGGGCAUGGUGGCAUGUGCCUGUAGUCCCAGCUAUUCGGGAGGCUGAGGCUGGAGGAUCUCUUGAGUCCAGGAGUUCUGGGCUGCAGUGCACUAUGCUGAUCGGGUGUCCGCACUAAGUUCGGCAUCAAUAUGGUGACCUCCUGGGAGCAGGGGAUCACCAGGUUGCCUAAGGAGGGGUGAACUGGCCCAGGUUGGAAAUGGAGCAGGUCAAAACUCCAGUGCUGAUCAGUAGUGGGAUCGUGCCUGUGAAUAGCCACUGCACUCCAGCCUGGGCAACAUAGUGAGACCCCGUCUCU